rnacentral:rRNA from 1 species
AGAGUUUGAUCAUGGCUCAGGAUGAACGCUAGCGGCAGGCCUCAUACAUGCAAGUCGAGGGGCAGCAGGGCACUUCGGUGUUGCUGGCGACCGGCGAACGGGUGCGUAACACGUAUGCAAUCUACCUUGUACUGGGGCAUAGCUCUCGGAAACGAGAAUUAAUACCCCAUAUUAUCCUGGCAGCACAUGCCGACAGGAUGAAAGCUUUGGCGGUACAAGAUGAGCAUGCGUCCCAUUAGCUAGUUGGUAAGGUAAUAGCUUACCAAGGCGACUAUGGGUAGGGGUUCUGAGAGGAAGAUCCCCCACACUGGCACUGAGAUACGGGCCAGACUCCUACGGGAGGCAGCAGUAGGGAAUAUUGGUCAAUGGGCGCAAGCCUGAACCAGCCAUGCCGCGUGCAGGAUGAAGGCCCUCAGGGUCGUAAACUGCUUUUAUACGGGAACAAAAAGCUCCUGCGGGAGUCAUUGAGGGUACCGUAAGAAUAAGCACCGGCUAACUCCGUGCCAGCAGCCGCGGUAAUACGGAGGGUGCAAGCGUUAUCCGGAUUUACUGGGUUUAAAGGGUGCGUAGGCGGCUCUUUAAGUCAGUGGUGAAAGCCUGGCGCUUAACGCCAGAAUGGCCAUUGAUACUGGAGAGCUUGAGUGAAGAAGAGGUAAGCAGAAUUCAUGGUGUAGCGGUGAAAUGCAUAGAUAUCAUGAGGAAUUCCAAUAGCGAAGGCAGCUUACUGGUCUUUUACUGACGCUGAGGCACGAAAGCGUGGGGAGCAAACAGGAUUAGAUACCCUAGUAGUCC